AGUCGAACGAGAUCUUCGGGUCUAGUGGCGCACGGGUGCGUAACGCGUGGGAAUCUGCCCUUUGGCUCGGAAUAACAGUUGGAAACGACAGCUAAUACCGGAUGAUGACGAAAGUCCAAAGAUUUAUCGCCAGAGGAUGAGCCCGCGUAGGAUUAGCUAGUUGGUGUGGUAAAGGCGCACCAAGGCGACGAUCCUUAGCUGGUCUGAGAGGAUGAUCAGCCACACUGGGACUGAGACACGGCCCAGACUCCUACGGGAGGCAGCAGUGGGGAAUAUUGGACAAUGGGCGAAAGCCUGAUCCAGCAAUGCCGCGUGAGUGAUGAAGGCCUUAGGGUUGUAAAGCUCUUUUACCCGGGAUGAUAAUGACAGUACCGGGAGAAUAAGCUCCGGCUAACUCCGUGCCAGCAGCCGCGGUAAUACGGAGGGAGCUAGCGUUGUUCGGAAUUACUGGGCGUAAAGCGCACGUAGGCGGCUUUGUAAGUUAGAGGUGAAAGCCUGGAGCUCAACUCCAGAACUGCCUUUAAGACUGCAUCGCUUGAAUCCAGGAGAGGUGAGUGGAAUUCCGAGUGUAGAGGUGAAAUUCGUAGAUAUUCGGAAGAACACCAGUGGCGAAGGCGGCUCACUG
rnacentral:rRNA from 1 species